UGCUAGUUCAAACUUGAAUUGUACUUCACUGAAAUAAUCCGCAUCGCUCUCUACUAUCCACAGAUUUUGAAAUUAGGAGAAGUGUCGAGAGGGAGGAAUUGUUCUGUGCUGAUGUUGAAACUGUGGGCAACAUCUAGCAAACUCUGGCAAAUCACCAACUGUGUCACCAGAUUGUUACCGGACAGGAAAACGUGGGAGCUUCCAAAUCACCUUCUCCUCUUGUCCUCUGACCCAGGGAAGCCAACACUCUUCACAGGUAAAUCCCUGUCUGAGAAGUUGAAAACAAACUGCCAGGACUCUUAAAACCCAGGUCCAGAACUAACACAAUGGUGCUGGUGUUCUGGACAAACUAUUACAAGGUCAGCCAAGACUCAAGGGAAAAGGACAAAAAAAAACCUUUGUGUGGGAGGAGUGGCAAAUAUUUGAUUGUCCCGGCAAACCACAUGGACAUGAAAUUGAGAAACAAAUCAUAGGACCAUAAGAACCUAUCCAUGUGAGAGUAUGAGGCUGUGAGUUCACAAUAUGCUUUCUAUCUCUACCCCCUACCCCUUAUCUGUGUUCUUGACAAUAUUCUGCAUAAGACAAUUAUUGAAAAUAAUUGAAAAAUAGUUUCAUUUUGUGAGUGUCUCCUUCAAAACCAAAAUUCAGUGCUCCAGCACUUUAUGGCUUCCCCUCACCUGAGCAAAGACUGUACUUCUCUAGCCAGCUUAUUCUACCUGCCCUGCCCGAGACCUUGGCAACUGGUACCAGAUAUCAAAGUGUCUGCUGUAACUUGCUCACUUACAAAGGC
rnacentral:lncRNA from 1 species